AUUGACCGCUGGCGGCAGGCCUAACAAAUGCAAGUCGAGCGAGCGGCGGACGGGUGAGUAAUGUAUGGGGAUCUGCCGGAUGGUGGGGGAUAGCUACUGGAAACGGUAGCUAAUACCGCAUACUAUCGGAUGAACCCAUGUGGGAUUAGCUAGUAGGUGGGGUAAAGGCUCACCUAGGCGACGAUCUCUAGCUGGUCUGAGAGGAUGAACAGCCACACUGGAACUGAGACACGGUCCAGACUCCUACGGGAGGCAGCAGUGGGGAAGAUUGCACAAUGGGCGCAAGCCUGAUUCAGCCAUGCCGCGUGUAUGAAGAAGGCCUUAGGGUUGUAAAGUUCUUUCAGUUGGGAGGCGUUACCUACAGAAGAAGCACCGGCUAACUCCGUGCCAGCAGCCGCGGUAAUAC
rnacentral:rRNA from 1 species